GAUUUAUUUGAUAAUAUUACGUUAACGUUGUAAAGUUAUGUUUUUAUUAUUAAAUAGUAAUGAAAUGUUUAUCGGUUUUUAUGAUGGCUAGUUUAUUAAUGAAGGUAUUUUAGUACCUUAAUAUUGAUUUAUUGUAAUAUAAUUAAUAUUAUUUAUUUUAUAAGGGAUAAGCUUUAUAUAAUGUAGUAGAAUAGUAAUAAAUUUAUUUUUAGUUGUAAGUAGAAUUAAAAUUGUUUAUCUUAUGAAGUAUUAUAAAAAUUUAUUUGAGUUGAUUCAGAUUUUUAAAUUAAUAAAUAUUUGUUAAUUUUUAAUAAUUAAUUAUAAUGUUAGUAUGAGUAUUAUUUAAAUUAUUUAUUUGGGGCUAUAAAAGUGUAUUAAUGAUAAUAUAUUUAAUUAAAUAAAAUAAGGAAAAGGAAUUCGGCAAAAAUAAAUCUCGCCUGUUUAUCAAAAACAUGUCUCUUUGUACGAUUAAAAAUGGAGAG
rnacentral:rRNA from 1 species